rnacentral:misc_RNA from 1 species
UGGUUCUGGCAUCGAUGAAGAACGCAGCGAAAUGCGAUAAGUAAUGUGAAUUGCAGAAUUCAGUGAAUCAUCGAAUCUUUGAACGCACAUUGCGCCCCUUGGUAUUCCGGGGGGCAUGCCUGUUCGAGCGUCAUGACAACCCUCAAGCUUAGCUUGGUGUUGGGGCCUGCCUGUAAGGCAGCCCCUAAAAUCAGUGGCGGUGCUAUUUUGCUCUGAGCGUAGUAACUCUUCUCGCUAUAGAGUCUUGGUAGACACUUGCCAACAACCUAAUUUUCUAUGGUUUGACCUCGGAUCAGGUAGGGAUACCCGCUGA